UACGUAGGGUGCAAGCGUUGUCCGGAAUUAUUGGGCGUAAAGCGCACGUAGGCGGCGCCGUAAGUCAGGGGUGAAAUCCCGGAGCUCAACUCCGGAACUGCCCUUGAAACUGCAGUGCUAGAAUCCUGGAGAGGCGAGUGGAAUUCCGAGUGUAGAGGUGAAAUUCGUAGAUAUUCGGAAGAACACCAGUGGCGAAGGCGACUCGCUGGACAGGUAUUGACGCUGAGGUGCGAAAGCGUGGGGAGCAAACAGG
rnacentral:rRNA from 1 species